CGCCAUUUGUGCCAUCCUUGAUCUUUGCUUUGCAAAUCUAGAAGACUCAGAGUGCUUACCGAACAGCAACAACUGAAAAAGAAUAAAUAAAUAAAUAAUGGUGUGGGAAAACAGCGCAAAUGCAGAUGGCAGCAAAGAUACUAAGGGAGGAGGAGUGGGGGGGAAGGAGGUAGUGAUUAAGGGAACAGAGCACUGGUGAUAGGCCUUGCUCCACUAUCUCUGUGGACCCUGGAGAUGAGUCUGAGAGGCGGAAUGCGGCCAACAUGGCAGCAACAUAACCUGCAUCAGGCUGUCGCCAACUGCAGCGCCCACCCAGGAGACCACAGUGUGCUCUCUCUUCCGAAAAAACUGCCCCAACACCUCAUCAUCACAACAGCUCUGAGGAAGACCCUGAGCAGUCGCUUUUCCAUUUCAGUGACAGAGAUUAUUAUUUGCAGCUUUUGCUGCCCUGUCCGACACAUAAGGGCUACGAGGACCGGAUGAAGAAGGAGCUGAAGACAGUGACCGUGUUCAAGCCCCAAAGGCAGGAUGGAGGGAAACACACUGAGGUGGGGAAUGGAGAGAGGAGACGCUACGACUCACACAUGGCAGCCCCAUUGCAGUUACCCUCAGGGUUCAAGGCUAUAUGAGUGUGUCUUGUUUGAGGGUAGAGAGGGGUGUGUUUAUCUAUCUCUGUUGUGGUGGAAGUAACAUGGAAAAACU
rnacentral:lncRNA from 1 species